ACGCAAGAGUGGAAAGAAAGACGUCAUCCUGCUGUGGUUAUGUCGUUAAGUCUGACAUUUAUAGUUCAAAGAAAAAUCAUUGACAUUUAACCCUUGCGCUCUAGUUUUUUUUUUUUUCCAGCUUGGUCAAAAUCAUUUUGGGCGAGGAACAAGUUGAGAUUUCAUUUUUUAUUUUGCCUAUUGACUGCAUAGUUUAACGAACAUCCAUCUUUGCCGUGAGCCUGAAAUAGUUAUUCAAUAUUGUAAUUCAUUUUUUAAGAAUUUCAUUCUAUACAAAAAAAACCCCAACUUUUUGGCCUCAUAGUUAAUGAGCUUUCAAAAAAUAUUCAUUGACCUUUCGCCAAAGGUGAAUAUAAGAAUUAAAAGGUGAGCCCCUUCUGGAAGAUGUAUUUGCAGCACACGUCGCACCAGGUGCCCUCCCCGCCGGCUCCGAAGCUGUGGCCCUCCCCGGACUCCUCCUUCACUCGGGGAUCCCUUUCCCCGGGGGUGAAGAUGGUCCUGACGUCGGGGGGUUUGAAUCCUUUCUUCCGGCUGCGGGGAGGCCGCCCGGCGUGACCUUCCUCCCGCUCGCCGCCCCUCAGCUCCGGGCUGCGCGGGACUCGGCCGCUCCAAGCCGCCUCCAGACUCUCCAGACGGGGAGUCUGAGGGGACAGGUGCCGCCGGACCACUUUGACCAUCGCGCCCUUGUUGGCCUUUGACAAGCGCAGCCUGGCGCCCGGUGGCGGCGGCGACGACGACGUUUCCUCCGGAGAGUCGCUCGGUGCCGGCGCCGUUCGGUGAGCGUCAAGUCCGGGCAGCCGAAGGAGGUCGGCCCCCGGGACGUUCUUGCGAGCCCCGUGGUGGAUCACCUUCAUGGUCGCGGGCGGACGCAGGAAUCGUGAAGCACGCGUCUGGGUUUCCUGGUCGGCGAGCAGGUUGAGGGAGUCGGCGCGGCUCAGAACGAGUUGGAUCUCAUUUCACAGGCGGCCGCAACACGGCGGGCGCUUGAAAAAAUGCUCACUUCAAGACAAUCCUUUCAAUUGAAGGCACGCGCCAACGUUUGGGAAUUGGAUGAAUAAAUAACUUCAUUGGUGGAACUUCAGUUUACAAUUCGGCAUCUUUCAUGCCCACUCUUAAGUGUCUCAUUUGGAGCAUUUAGGCAAAAAGUUGCCUGCUGCCGCACGAUGCUGCCGUAAUUCUUGUGACCACACGAGGGUGCUGUUUUGCAAGUCUUCAAAUGACACGCUGCAGCGUUCAUCCUGAAAUACAAAAUCACAUUGUCACUUUAAACACAAACAAAUCAGUCCGGACAGCUUCAUCGGUGUAUUUUUUAAUGAUGUUUUUCAUUGCUCAGUGUACAUUUGUCCUGACAAGUUAGUAAAUCAACAUGCGUACCUUUGAAAAUAGAUAAUUCCAUUUUAGGCAAAAGUCACCACACAGACUAAAUUGCGUUUCUCAUCAGAUCCCAAAACAUAGACCACACAUCAGAAAGCUUUUGUGCACUUCGGAUUUAUCCUGAAAUGUAAUCGCAAACUUCUCCCGAGUUGGGGCUGUGAGAUGCCACGUCAAGCCGUGCAAAGUUCCCAUCCAAAGAAGACAAGAA